rnacentral:rRNA from 1 species
UACGUAGGUGGCAAGCGUUGUCCGGAUUUAUUGGGCGUAAAGAGCUCGUAGGCGGUCUGUCGCGUCGGAUGUGAAAACCCAGGGCUCAACCCUGGGCCUGCAUUCGAUACGGGCAGACUAGAGUUCGGUAGGGGAGACUGGAAUUCCUGGUGUAGCGGUGAAAUGCGCAGAUAUCAGGAGGAACACCGGUGGCGAAGGCGGGUCUCUGGACCGGAACUGACGCUGAGGCGCGAAAGCGUGGGGAGCAAACAGG